UACGUAGGGUGCGAGCGUUAAUCGGAAUUACUGGGCGUAAAGCGUGCGCAGGCGGUUCGUUGUGUCCGAUGUGAAAGCCCCGGGCUUAACCUGGGAAUGGCAUUGGAAACUGGCGGGCUUGAGUGCGGCAGAGGGGGGUGGAAUUCCGCGUGUAGCAGUGAAAUGCGUAGAGAUGCGGAGGAACACCGAUGGCGAAGGCAGCCCCCCUGGGUCGACACUGACGCUCAGGCACGAAAGCGUGGGGAGCAAACAGG
rnacentral:rRNA from 1 species